rnacentral:hammerhead_ribozyme from 1 species
AUCCAGCUGACGUGUGCUAAAUAGAACGAAACGCGUGUUCUGGAU